CAAUUUCUUGUUGAGUCAAUAUACGAUCAUAUCAUUACCCAACCCUUGAGAAGCCGACAUCUGCGGCGGCUUACUCAAGACGGCUCACACUCUGGACUCUUC